UGGGGAAUUUUGGACAAUGGGCGCAAGCCUGAUCCAGCCAUGCCGCGUGCGGGAAGAAGGCCUUCGGGUUGUAAACCGCUUUUGUCAGGGAAGAAAUCUUCUGAGUUAAUACCUCGGGAGGAUGACGGUACCUGAAGAAUAAGCACCGGCUAACUACGUGCCAGCAGCCGCGGUAAUACGUAGGGUGCAAGCGUUAAUCGGAAUUACUGGGCGUAAAGCGUGCGCAGGCGGUUUUGUAAGACAGAGGUGAAAUCCCCGGGCUCAACCUGGGAACUGCCUUUGUGACUGCAAGGCUUGAGUGCGGCAGAGGGGGAUGGAAUUCCGCGUGUAGCAAUGAAAUGCGUAGAUAUGCGGAGGAACACCGAUGGCGAAGGCAAUCCCCUGGGCCUGCACUGACGCUCAUGCACGAAAGCGUGGGGAGCAAACAGGAUUAGAUACCCUGGUAGUCCACGCCCUAAGCGAUGUCAACUGGUUGUUGGGAAGGUUCCUUCUCAGUAACGUAGCUAACGCGUGAAGUUGACCGCCUGGGGAGUACGGCCGCAAGGUUGAAACUCAAA
rnacentral:rRNA from 1 species